UCCCUGGUGGUCCAGUGGGUAGGACUUCAUGCUCCCAAUGCCAGGGGCCUAGGUUCAAUUCCUAGUUAGGGAA